AGUUCGAUCAUGGCUCAAAUUAGACACUGGCGGGAUGCUUUACGCCUGAAGUCGAGCAGCGCUGGACUUCAGUCUGGUGUGGGUGGCGAACAGGUGAUAAUGUCGGAACGUGCCUGAUGGCGGGGAUAACUACGCGAAAGCGCUAGCUAAUACCACAUACGCCCUUCGGGGAAAGCGGGGGACCUUCGGGCCUCGCACUAUUAGAGCAGCC
rnacentral:misc_RNA from 1 species